UACGUAGGGUGCAAGCGUUGUCCGGAAUUAUUGGGCGUAAAGAGCUCGUAGGCGGUUUGUCGCGUCUGCUGUGAAAACCUAAGGCUCAACCUUGGGCUUGCAGUGGGUACGGGCAGACUAGAGUGCGGUAGGGGUGACUGGAAUUCCUGGUGUAGCGGUGAAAUGCGUUGAUAUCAGGAGGAACACCCAUGGCGAAGGCAGCAAACUGGCCGGCAUCUGACGCUGAGGCGCGAAAGCGUGGGUAGCAAACAGG
rnacentral:rRNA from 1 species